rnacentral:pre_miRNA from 1 species
UUGAAAAUUUUGAAAACUUCAACUUGCAGACUUGGAGAAUGUGAAGACUUAAACUUGUAGAUUUGGAGAAUUUGAAAAAAUCAACC